UGGGGAAUCUUAGACAAUGGGGGAAACCCUGAUCUAGCCAUGCCGCGUGAGCGAUGAAGGCCUUAGGGUUGUAAAGCUCUUUCAGCUGGGAAGAUAAUGACGGUACCAGCAGAAGAAGCCCCGGCUAACUCCGUGCCAGCAGCCGCGGUAAUACGGAGGGGGCUAGCGUUGUUCGGAAUUACUGGGCGUAAAGCGCACGUAGGCGGAUUAGUCAGUCAGAGGUGAAAUCCCAGGGCUCAACCCUGGAACUGCCUUUGAUACUGCUAGUCUUGAGGUCGAGAGAGGUGAGUGGAAUUCCGAGUGUAGAGGUGAAAUUCGUAGAUAUUCGGAGGAACACCAGUGGCGAAGGCGGCUCACUGGCUCGAUACUGACGCUGAGGUGCGAAAGCGUGGGGAGCAAAACAGGAUUAGAUACCCUGGUAGUCCACGCCGUAAACGAUGAAUGCCAGUCGUCGGGUUGCAUGCAAUUCGGUGACACACCUAACGGAUUAAAGCAUUCCGCCUGGGGAGUACGGUCGCAAGAUU
rnacentral:rRNA from 1 species